rnacentral:rRNA from 1 species
CUGUAAUGGCAGGUCAGCAUACUGCCGUGAAUACGUUCCCGGGCCUUGUACACACCGCCCGUCACACCAUGAGAGUUGGGGAUACCCGAAGCCUGUGAGCUAACAGUAAUGGAGCAGCAGUCGAAGGUAGAAUCAAUGAUUGGGGUGAAGUCGUAACAAGGUAAC